rnacentral:rRNA from 1 species
UACGUAGGGACCAAGCGUUGUUCGGAUUUACUGGGCGUAAAGGGCGCGUAGGCGGCAAUUCAAGUCAUCUGUGAAAUCUCCGAGCUUAACUCGGAACGGUCAGAUGAUACUGCUUUGCUAGAGUGCAGGAAGGGGCAACCGGAAUUCUUGGUGUAGCGGUGAAAUGCGUAGAUAUCAAGAGGAACACCGGAGGUGAAGACGGGUUGCUGGGCUGACACUGACGCUGAGGCGCGAAAGCUAGGGUAGCAAACGGG